UAGUCCACGCCGUAAACGAUGUGCACUAGAUUGGUGGAGAUCUGACUCUUUGCCAGUCGCAGAGAAAUCAUUAAGUGCACCGCCUGGGGAGUACGGUCGCAAGGCUAAAACUCAAAGGAAUUGACGGGGGCUCACACAAGCGGUGGAGCAUGUUGCUUAAUUCGAAGCAACGCGAAGAACCUUACCUGGGCUUGACAUGCACGGAUUAGCUUUUGGAAACAAGAGUGACGCCUUCGGGUGGAACGUGCACAGGUGCUGCAUGGCUGUCGUCAGCUCGUGCUGUGAAGUGUCGGGUUAAGUCCCUUAACGAGCGCAACCCUUGUCGCUAGUUGCCAGCGCGUAAUGGCGGGGACUCUAGCGAGACUGCCGGUGUCAAACCGGGAGGAAGGUGGGGGAUGACGUCAAGUCCUCAUGGCCCUUAUGUCCAGGGGUGGCAAACGUGCUACAAUGGCGUGUACAGAGCGAUGCGAUACCGGC
rnacentral:rRNA from 1 species